rnacentral:lncRNA from 10 species
CUCGAAGAUAAACCUGCAUAGUCUUACAAAGACCGUAGAAGACAAAUGGGAGCCCUUCCAAUGAGCUCCUGUUGUUCAUCUUUCUACCCAGCCAUAAGUUUCCUGAAGUACCUAGGAGUCAUCCCUAAUGCAGCUGUGAAAUGCCUGCGUAUGGAGCAGGAAGAUUUCUAACUUGGAAUCACUAAGGACAAAAACUCCUAUAUUCCUGAAGCCCUACAAGCUGGAACUGGACAACUCGAUGUAAAUUUCAGGAGACAACCCCCAUGCCUGAUGUGUGGGCCACUAAGGGAGUUUACCAAAACAUCCAAUGCCAUAACCAGAGACAUUCAAACUAAACCAAGAAAAUGUUUCAAGCUCAAAUCCAGAAAUCUUGUCAACUAACUGCCCUCUGAACUCAGAGACUGAGUUUAUAAUUUGUCCUAAGCCAUUAACCUUUGUUAAUAGCUUUUUUUUGUUUUGUUUAUUUUUUCUGGUUUGGUUCAUGAGGGCAUUUGUUAAGAAGCAUACUCUAAUCCCUUGGUAUAUCCUCCUGAUAGUUCCCAUUGUAAUCUCCCAGCUGCAUUCUCUCAAGGGUUUUGAAGGUGUAUUUGCAGCGAUUAGUGGUAUACUAGGUGGCCUCACUGUGAUUACUGCAACAACUGCAAGAUGACCAAAGGAAUGUGUCUUCCACAAGGCUGACAUUGUGACUUAUGAGUUUCAUGCUAAGACAAAGACAACCCUGCCAUGAUGAUGACUGACAGUAGUGCUGAUGCCAUAAAUUUUUAUCAAAUCCCUCAGUACAGGUUGAGUCUGAUCAAAAGGGGAAAGCUGUUCAGUAAAAUAUGUGGGAGGUCAUUGUUUUGGAUUAAGCUCCUGCACUAGGCCCCAACAGACCAGAUCAAACCAGAAUGGAGUCACUCAUGCCAGAUGCCACAUUGUCAAACUGAAUGUAAAAAUAGGUCACUUGUUCAAAAAAAAAAGGAGAUUCACAGUAACCAAUUGAAAGGGGCCCAGUCAACCUAAGCUCACAUGAUAAGGAAGUCUCCUCUAGUUUAACGUAUGCAAGGAAAGUAGCUUUGAAAUCACCAGUCCACUUUUUGUUUCUUCUUUCUGCUUUCUUCAGUCUUUUCCAUUAUAAAGCCCACACAUCUGCUCAGCUCAGUAGGGCACCUUUCUAUUUCAUAGAUGGAAUGUCACUUGAUUCAUGAAUCAUUAAUAAAAGCCAAUUUGAUGUUUAAAACUCAGUUUGCUAAAAUGUUGUUCUUUAAUAGUACUAUGGACUGAAUUAUUUGGUGUCAGAUAAUGUCCAGGAG